rnacentral:tRNA from 1 species
UGCGAUGUAGUUAAAUAGUGAAUAAUGAUAGGUUGUCAACUUAUAGUUGCUUUAAGAGCUUUCGUGU